GUGCCAGCAGCCGCGGUAAAACGUAGGUGGCAAGCGUUAUCCGGAUUCACUGGGCGUAAAGGGCACGCAGGUGGUCUAGUAGGUAGGGCAUGAAAACUUCCGGCUUAACCGGGAGAGGCUGUCCUAUACCGCUGGACUCGAGGACGGGAGAGGGGAGUGGAAUUGCCGGUGUAGUGGUGAAAUGCGUAGAGAUCGGCAGGAACACCAGUGGCGAAAGCGGCUCCCUGGCCCGGACCUGACACUCAUGUGCGAAAGCUAGGGGAGCGAACGGGAUUAGAUACCCGCGUAGUCC
rnacentral:rRNA from 1 species